rnacentral:rRNA from 1 species
CUGAAUUUAUUUAAAGGGCCGCAGUAUAUUGACUGUGCUAAGGUAGCAUAAUCAUUUGUUUUUUAAUUGAAAACUAGAAUGAAUGGUUUGAUAAAAAAUAAACUGUCUCUAUAUAAAAAUUAUAAAAAUUUAAAUUUUUAGUUAAAAUGCUAAAAUUAUAAUAAAAGACGAGAAGACCCUAUAGAUCUUUAUAAUUAGGUUAAUUAAUAUUUUUUAUUUUUAUAAAUAUUUUAAUUGAUUAAAUUAUUUAAUUGGGGUGAUUAAAAAAUUAAAUAAACUUUUUUAUUUAUUUAAUAUUAAUUAAUAGAUGUUUGAUCCUUUAUUAAGAUUAUUAGAUUAAGUUACCUUAGGGAUAACAGCGUAAUUUUUUUGGGGAGUUCAUAUCUAUAAAAAAGAUUGCGACCUCGAUGUUGAAUUAAAGUUAGUUUUAGGAGUAGAAAUUUAAAAUUUUAGUCUGUUCGACUAUUUAACUUUACAUGAUCUGAG